rnacentral:rRNA from 1 species
GACGAACGCUGGCGGCGUGCUUAACACAUGCAAGUCGAACGGAAAGGCCCUGCUUUUGUGGGGUGCUCGAGUGGCGAACGGGUGAGUAACAUGUGAGUAACCUGCCCUUGACUUUGGGAUAACUUCAGGAAACUGGGGCUAAUACCGGAUAGGAGCUCCUGCUGCAUGGUGGGGGUUGGAAAGUUUCGGCGGUUGGGGAUGGACUCGCGGCUUAUCAGCUUGUUGGUGGGGUAGUGGCUUACCAAGGCUUUGACGGGUAGCCGGCCUGAGAGGGUGACCGGCCACAUUGGGACUGAGAUACGGCCCAGACUCCUAUGGGAGGCAGCAGUGGGGAAUAUUGCACAAUGGGCGGAAGCCUGAUGCAGCAACGCCGCGUGCGGGAUGACGGCCUUCGGGUUGUAAACCGCUUUCGCCUGUGACGAAGCGUGAGUGACGGUAAUGGGUAAAGAAGCACCGGCUAACUACGUG